rnacentral:rRNA from 1 species
GAAGGGGGCUAGCGUUGCUCGGAAUCACUGGGGCGGUAAAGGGGCGCGUAGGCGGCUGAUUUAGUCGAGGGUGAAAGCCUGUGGCUCAACACAGAAUUGCCUUCGAUACUGGUUGGCUUGAGACCGGAAGAGGACAGCGGAACUGCGAGUGUAGAGGUGAAAUUCGUAGAUAUUCGCAAGAACACCAGUGGCGAAGGCGGCUGUCUGGUCCGGUUCUGACGCUGAGGCGCGAAAGCGUGGGGAGCAAACAGGAUUAGAUACCCUGGUAGUCCACGCUGUAAACGAUGAAUGCUAGCCGUUGGUCUGCAUGCAGGUCAGUGGCGCCGCUAACGCAUUAAGCAUUCCGCCUGGGGAGUACGGUCGCAAAGAUUA